UACGUUCCCGGGCCUUGUACACACCGCCCGUCAAGCCAUAGGAAGCUGGGGGUGCCUGAAGUCGGUGACCGCAAGGAGCUGCCUAGGGUAAAACUAGUAACUAGGGCU
rnacentral:rRNA from 1 species